CUUGAACGCUGGCGGCAGGCCUAACACAUGACAGUCGAACGAGGGGCGGACGGGUGAGUAAUGUCUGGGAAACUGCCUGAUGGCGGGGGAUAACUACUGGAAACGGUAGCUAAUACCGCAUACCAUCGGAUGUGCCCAGAAGGGAUUAGCUAGUAGGUGGGGUAAAGGCUCACCUAGGCGACGAUCCCUAGCUGGUAUGAGGGGAGGACCAGCCACACUGGAACUUAUACACGGUCCAGACUCCUACGGGAGGCAGAAGUGGGGAAUAUUGCACAAUGGGCGCAAGCCUUAUGCAGACAUGCCGCGUGUAUGAAGAAGGCCUUCGGGUUGUAAAGUACUUUCAGCGGGGAGGCUUUACCUGCAGAAGAAGCACCGGCUAACUCCGUGCCAGCCGCCGCGGUAAUUC
rnacentral:rRNA from 1 species